CGAGUAGGCCGGGUGAUCGCGGGCUGAAAGGCCUGAGGAAAGUCCGAGCUCCGCAGGGCAGGGUGCUGGGUAACACCCAGUGGGGGCGACCCCAAGGAAAGUGCCACAGAAACAUACCGCCUGGGCACUCAGUUGGCGAGUGCGAGGCAAGGGUGAAAAGGUGAGGUAAGAGCUCACCGCGGGCAAGGCGACUUGUCCGGCCAGGCAAACCCCACCUGGAGCAAGACCAAAUAGGGGAACCAUGAGUGGCCCGCUCCGUUCCCGGGUUGGUCGCUUGAGGUGUCAGGCAACUGGCAUCCCAGAUGAAUGAUCACCCUCGACAGAACUCGGCUUACAGGCCUACUCGGUGG
rnacentral:RNase_P_RNA from 1 species